ACUCUGUUUUCAACUUUCCAGAACCAGGAUGUUUCCGGCCGGAGGCUCCUGUGUAGCAACAAGGACUUGUGGCUUGGGCUGCCGGGGAGACAGGGACUGCACUCCCCCAGCUUUGUGGUCCCAGCCCCAUCCUCCCCUCCGACUGACUGCAGCUCCGGGAGGGAUGGGCCGAGCGUGUGCUGUACCUCCCUGGCCGGGGAGCAUCCCAGGGGAACCCACUGGAGAUUUCCUGGCAGGGAGAUGGAAAGAGAAAAUAAUUGCAAGGCACAGCUCUAAGCAGCAAUGACAGCAGAGAGAAGAAAGCAGAGCAAGGCAGGGAUGGGGAGACCCGGGGGCAGAAAAUGCUGUAAACGGGGACAGUCAGGUGGGAACUCGGGCAGGGCGGGGUGUGGAAAAGCAGAGCUCUCCCCUUUACUCACUACCUGAUUCUUUUGAGCCCCUUGUGGCUCCUUGAAGGCCUGGAGCACCCCCAAACCAGAUCCAGCCCCCACACUCCAGCCUGAUGGAAGCCACACCGGCCCCCCUCGUGGCCUCAGCGAGGCUGCCUCUUCGCUCCCAGCCUGCACUUGAUCUGAUUUGGCAUGCAUGUGAGCACGGGCUGCUGUGACCGAUGCAGGAGUUUUCAAAGCAAGAAGAAUGAAUUAGCUCCGUGGGCCACCGUCAGCAGCUCCCACCCCUGGACCGGCACUAAGCCAGAGUUCUGAAGUUCUCAGCAGAUAUCCCCCCUGGGUGUUUGCUGAGGUGCCGCCUCCCUGACCUGCCUCGCUGUGUCCUCAGAGUAGGGAGCCAGUCCACAGCUCAACUCGCUCCUGGUAGCCGUUGUCCUGGGGUUAGUCCUGGGUGCACAGGCCCUAGGCAGGUGUCACUGAGCACUGUGGACUCACCACUCCCAUGGCGGACGAAUCAUGCAGACAAGUCCUUCAUUGCAUCUCUGAGCCUGUUUCCUCCCAUGGAGGGCCAUGCAGAGCACCCCCCUGUAGAAGAUGCCCAUCAGUGUGGUGUCCUCUCCCUGGCUACGUCCCUCGAAGGAAGGGGCACGGGGUGGCACCAGGUGAAGGUACCUUGUGCUGCCACCUGCUGUCUGAUGUCCUCACUGCACCACGGUCGCCAGCCCCCCAGGUUGGGUGACGGCUGGCCCAGGAAAGGGCAGAGGAGGCCACGGUUGUGAUGGGUGGGGACUAAGGGUGACAUUAGAGGUGAAAGCUGUUUGCCAAGUGGGAGAGGUCUGGGUGGGGCACGGGGAGAGGACGGGAAGGACAAGGGGGUGGCAGGCGGGGGAGGGGAGCCAGUGCUCUGUGGUUCAAGGGCAGCAUUAUGCCGGGGAAAGGUGGUAUCUGGGAAACUGCGUGAUUGCAGAGACAGCCUUGGCCAGCCUUCGGAGAAGCAGCCAGAGCUCAGGGAUGCCUUCUCUUGUGGUUAAGCCUCUCUCCUCACACGAGGUGAAGGACCGUGGGCUCCUUUAAGCCUCUGAGUACGCCAAGCUGGGAGCUCGGGCGUGCAUUUCUACGAACACAAAUGUGACUGCCUUGGAAAAGGCCUCCCUGGCAAGUCGUUUCAUGAUCGGGAUUCCUUGCCCCAUGUCCCAUUCCCUCGACAAUGAGAAGAGGCUGAGGUGGAUGAAGCCGAUGGGCUAGAGGUUGGCCAGACACAUAUGAUGCAACCCCAACCCUGCCGCUUCCUGCCUGUGUGAUCUUGGGCACGUCACUAAACCUCUCUGAACUCACUGGCUCGUGCAAAACCGAUAGCAGUGCUAGCCUCCUUGUUAGCGUGUUGGGAAGAAUAAGCGAGAGAUUACAGAUGAGCCUCAGAUUUGUUUUUAGCAUCAGCUCAGCUCUCUCCUCUUUCGGGUCCCCACCCCCCACGCCCAGGCAGACCUUUUCCUGGAGUCUUGGGGGGGGAGGAAGCAGAAGCUGCCAAGCCCAAGGUGGGGGCCUGUGGCUGUUGACACAAUUCCCUCCGAAGCCCCCACAUCCCUGAAGCUCCUGGCCAGUUCCUGCUCCUGGAGGCCUUAAUCCAAGACCUGCUUUGCCCCCACCAGCUCCUCCCCCCAUCCCAGCCUCCUUCAGUCUCUUCCACUCCCUGCUGUACCCUAGAGCAGAUAGAACCAUCCGGACAAGCGUCAUGAGGUUUGCCUCAUCAUCAUUACUACUGUUAAUAAGAUUCAGCAGUGUUAUUAUUUCCACUUUUAAUGAGACACAUCAGCUUCCAUCGUUGAUAAAGAUUUUACAUUGUUGGGGGAGAGGCCACAGUUCUGUCCCCGAAAAUGCCCACGUUGACUCCGGGGGCUCCCGGGGGGGGGGUAGGGGUUAGGGUGAAGCCUUGGAUGGAGGAGAGGGUGUUAUAGCCAAGCUCUCUGGCUUUACCUUGACCCAGAAUCCUCCAACCAUUAGAAGGCAAAAAGACCCCAGAGCCCCCUCCCCCAAAUCUCCCACCCUCAUUAGGGAAUAGACAGCUACAGAUUUCGACAAAUAUAUAAAAGCUUAAUCUGCAGACCUAGGUGACAAAAGUCUAGGAAGUUGGUACAGUUUUGCUUUAAAAAAAAAAAAAAAAAGACAGUUCCCAUAAGCACCCCCCUCUCUCCACCCAAGGAGGCCAGAGGACAAGAGUUCCACACUACUGCACACCCCAAGAGGAUAAAACCUGCUUGCUUCAAGGAGUAGUGUCAUUUCUGUCCAGAAGAGCAAUUAGAAAACCUUUCGCCACCUUAGAAAAUACGGGAUGGGCCAAAGCCUCCAGGCUCAUCCGUCCAGCAGCCCCGCACCCCUGAUCCCAGGGUCGGGGUGGGGGAGGGGGUGGCUGAGGGAGGGCUGCCCAGCCCAUUGGAGCUGCCUUUGAGGUUUCAAGGGUCCUGGGGCUUGAAGGUGCUGGGGAUGAGGGGGUGGGGUUGAGGUGGGUGUUUGGGAUGGCUGGCUGAGCCUGCGGUUGGCUCUGUGGCACUGCCUCUUAGCUCAGGGUUCCAGGCAAGAGAGUAUUGCCCCAAGGCAGCACCAGAAAGGAGGUUCUGGGCCACACCAAUAAUAGCCCCUCCUCCUCUCCCCCUUCUCCUCCUCCUCCUUCUCCCUUCUCCGCCUUCCCUCCCUGUCCGGCCUUCCCAGCCCCUCCCCCCCCCCACCCUCCCCGGCUCCCACUGGGCAGGCAGCGGCAGACCUUGUAAUCACCUUGAUGGCGCUCAUUCAUCACCCCCCAGGGGUCCAGCUCCGCACUCCGCAGCCUGGCCGCCUGGCCCUCCCGACUCCACCGGGAGGUGGCCUUUGGACUCCUGGCCCCCUCCAUCUCGGGAGGGAGCAGCCCGCUCUGUUUGUACAGCUUAAUCCCAUUGCCAGCUUGAUGGAGCAGUGCCCACGGUGCGGGUCAGCAGGGCUCCCAAGGCGUGAGGCUAACGCCCAGACCUCCAAGGUCAAGGGGGCUGAAGCCUGGGGAAGGAAAACCCGGACGCGCUUGCCCCCUCCCCCACCGGUCCCGUUGGCAGCGGCUGAGGCCGCCUCCCCCAGUCUCAGUCGGCCCCAUUAACCAAAACAGCUUCAUUAUGCCAAUUUCCAGCUUUCAAUGUGGGGCUGAUAGCUGUCAGCAGAAAUAAGAGUUAAUCUGGAACUACUCACAUUCACAGAGCUGCUGCCUGGCUAAGAGGAAGCGAUAAAGCUUUGGUAGAAGCAGUAAACCCUGCUUGCCUAGCCUCCUACCAGGCAGAGGGGCUUCCCUCCUCCCUUGCCCCUGGGGGGUGAGGCUGCAAGGUUGCAGCCCUCCUGGGGGAGGAUUAGGUUCUCUCUCCCCCAGCCAGCCAGCCAGACACGCGCGCGCGCACACACACACACACACACACGCGUGUGCACGCGUGCACACACACACUCCUAUACACACACAGGCAGCUCUGACCCCUUCCCUGCCCGCUGCCCACUCCCCAGCUCCGGGGUUCUUUCUCCAGUGCCACCUGGAAAUGCCUAACUCUGUCCCUUUCGCUUUCACUCUGGACCGUGAUUAACUUUUUUAUUUUGGAAAAUUACUUUAUUAUAGAUAUAGAUAUAGAUAUGUAUGUACGUAUAUAUAAAAAGGUUCCAUUUCAUUUGUAAAAUCUUAUUUUUUGCUUUUUCUCUUUUUCUUUUUUUUUUCCUACACAAAAUGAUGACGAGGUUAAAGGAGAAAAUAAGUUACAUUACAGUUUCCAAAAUGGUCCCCGCUCUCCGCUGAAGAUGGGCCACCGUCAGGGCUGAAAUGCACUCUCGGUCCCAGCUUGUGCUUUGCAAGAAGAGGGGAUAUAACUAGACUGGUUAUUUUAGGUUAAAAUAGCCAAGAGACAGACGCCUUCGCCUCAAAAAUAUUCUGAGACACAUAAAAGUACAAGGAAACAAGUCUCUUCAGUCACAAAAUGUCGUACAUCCCGCAUAUACUAGAUUCAAUUAAUUUAAUAAAAUAGAAUAUACAUAGA
rnacentral:lncRNA from 1 species